rnacentral:lncRNA from 10 species
GGAAGGCACUCUCUGUCAAGCUGCUGUCACCUUACCUGAAGUAAGGAGUCCACGCCUGCAUGUCCGAGGAAAACAGUUUUCUCAAACACAUUAGUUGAAAAACUGAAGACGCUGCCUAAAAUACAAGCUGAGUUAGAGACAGCCCUUGUAAGACUAGGUCUGGUUGUUAAAAAGAGCCUGGGACCUUUCUCCCGUUUCCCUCUUGCUUCCUCUCUCGUCAUCUGACAUACCACUCUCUUUCCCCUUCCACCAUCAUUGGAAGCUUCCAAAAGCAGAGGCUCGCUCUUUCCUUGCCUAACGCAGCCAUGGCUUGUGGUCCCAAGAAGCAUCUGAAG